AUACUUACCUGGUCGGGGAGAUACCAUGAUUACAAAGGUGGUUUUCCCAGGGCAAGGCUUAUCCAUUUCACUCUAGAUGAGCUGACCCCUGCAAUUUCCCCAAAUGUGGGAAACUUGGCUGUGUAAUUUGUAGUAGUGAGGGACUGCCUCUGCACUCUUCCCCU